rnacentral:lncRNA from 1 species
GAUCGCGGGAGAGCCCAAUCACAGGGCGAGCUGGACCUGGCUGUGAUCAUUUAUAAUCCUUGACUCCUCCGCUCCUCCACUUGUCAAGAUGACAGGGGUCAUCCAUGAAUAACACUUCAAGCUGAUGAAUGGCUCUUGCCGGCUUUCGGCUCUGAUGAGGGGUCUGCCGGCCGCUGAUUGCAAACACUAAUGAACUUACAGCUCCAUUUGAAAUUCACACGCACCAACAAAGUGAAGGGGUACGGUAGGCAUUUCGGGUCAGCUGAGUCACCCGAGGUGGUGGGAGAGCAAGACACUGCCUGGGAAGAUGGAUUCCUAGACAGAAGGGUGUAAUUAAGGAUUGCCACCCCCGGUAGGCGGCCCGCCCUUGACGGGGCCUCUGAAAAUGACCUGCGUCUUUCCUUCUGGAAGUGUCCUCUUGUCGGGGACGAAAAGCGCAAAUGACCUUCGGACUCCGGCAGGGGAGGGCUGCACUGAACACUUAGACUUCCUCCCAGGUCCCAGCUCUGUCCUGUUUAGAACAAGUGUCCGCCCCCAGAUUCAAGUAGCUGGACCUCCAACCAGUAGCCACUGUCAGGGGCACACUCAACAAACCUAAAGCCCACCACCACCAGCCCCAUCCCCGAUCUGUUUCUCCUUUCUUCCCUCAGAUUAUUAGCAGCACAACACCGCCCCUGCCACACUCCCUUGGCAGUGGGAGCCGAAACAACUUUACCUCCCUAAGGACACUGCCACUUUGUAAGUUUCUGCCAAAACUCUACUCCAGGAAGCUCCAGCCCCGGGCCCCGCCCCCGCCCCCACCCUCACCCCUAGCUGCGGAAAGCCCACCCCGGGAGCCAUUUUUCACUGCCCAAAAGCUCCUGCCCUUCGAGUUUUGGAACUCCAAACUUAGAACCUUUACAGAAUCGCGCUCUGGCUUCCUGCCUCCCGCCAGCUCCAGGCUUCUUUCUG